UUAUAUGGUUAAAUUUUUAGCCCAUUAUAAUAGUGAUAUUAUAAUGAAUCCUUCUUAACUGCUGGGAUAUCCUUUUAGGACAAUCAGCAUCCAAGCAUUGUUAUAUAAAUAACAAUGAAGGUUCAACGACUAUCGAAACCGACUUAUCAGAUCGUUGUGAUAACGCUAGAUAUGGGUAAGGGAGUAGAGUACGACUCAAGCGAUUGGAGUUGGAAAUGGAAGGCAUCUCAAUGAGAUGAAGAUAUAGUCUCAUCUUCAUGGUAACAUGGAG
rnacentral:ncRNA from 1 species